ensembl:lncRNA
AAGAUAUUGGCUUUGAAACAAAUCCUUGUUAUGAAUGCCAGAAACCUUAGACUUUCUGAUGUGUUUUCCAUGAUCAAAAGAUGGCCUUGAACUAGGACAUUGCAAUCCAAAAGAAAUGGACAUUGUGACUCCAAGAACUUUUCAAAAUGGAACUGCUUUCCAUGGAUAAAUUGUUAAGAAUUCUGUAAGAAAAAUGAACGACAUCAAGUGGCUAAUUAUCAAGAAAAGAAGAAUACACUAACCAUUUCUUGCCAGGCUUCCCAGUCUGGAUCAGGCACAAGGACUGGCAGAGAGAAGCUUUAAGUUGGGUAAGAGUUUAAGGUCUUAUUAUUUCUCUGGAUUGAAUUGCAAUGAUGGGAUAAUUAUGAGACUAGACUAGACUUUCAUCAUUAAAACAGAGGGGCCUUUAGUUUAUUACCUAAGAGAGAUGGUAAUUUCCAUCUAAGAGAGAAAAAGAACAGGUUUGGAGGGAGAGUGGAUGAAAGAAUAAAAUUAGUUUCCGCUUACACUUCUUCAAGUCUGACUUGUUCAAUAAACUCAAGCCAUUACAAAAAAAUAUGAUAAAAAUAACUCUAUACUUUGAGAAUGUUUACCAUGUGCCAGGAACUGCUUUAAACACCAAACACAUGUGAGCCCAUAUAAUCUUCUCUAGAACUUUACAAAGAAGGAAAGAGAGACCCAGCGGUAACUUUCUAAAAUAUACACAUUUGGUAUAUGGUGGAGAUGAGAUUUAUCACAGGAAAAAGCUGGGAACAACAUAAAAUGUCCAGUUAAAUAAAUAUAGUCUCUCCAUGGAGUGCCAUGCAUUCACUUAACCACCAAGUAGAAAUAUGUAAAAAUAUAGCUUAAUAUGAUAAAUGAAUACAAUCGAGAUAUUCUAUUAUUGGUAGUUUUAUUUAUAUGUCUUUUGUUAAAAAUAAAGCUUACCAAAAAGUGGCUAGAAGAAAAAAAUUACAAAAUGUGAAUGAAAAGGUGUUAAUUUUGUGGGUGAUUUUUUUCUCUGUAAUUUCCCAUUUAUUUAAUGUGGUAACAUUACUUCUUUAUUGGAAAAAUUAAUUUAUAAUAAAAUGGGAAGAGGAAUCCACUUUUGAAAUUUAUCAAAUCUAGCUAAGUGACUUAUAUUUUAAAAAUUGAGUUAAACGAGGUUUGUAGUAUUAUGAAACUAGCAAGGACAAUAACAAAAUUGUCUUACUCUUUAUUGAAAACUAUUUUUUUUUAACAUGGGCACAUCCUUAAACUUGAUCUUCUGUGAGAACGUGUGUGUUCCAGCAAGAAAGAAGGAGGAAGUGGAAGUGAAGCUUUCUUUACGGUAGCGGUUGCCUCUGGAAAUGGAGGAAAGGAGAAGUGAUGGGGCUUUAGCUGUUCCUGUUCCUUAAAACCGACAAACAAGAUACUCACCAAGACUGAAACACGUAUAACGAAAUAUGAAGAGUUAUUUUAUCUCAGUGCACUUUUGCUGCUCAAAUCCCUCUUCUUCAAAACUGUGUCCACCAUCAAUACUGGCAGUUGUAUAACCCACAAAUUUUCAAGGUAUUCAGAAGAGUUGCCUUUGGUUUAAAAAGUGUGUAGUGGUGAAGAAAUUGAUGGCUGCUGACGUGGUUUGGGGCCAUGACUUUGAUUUGUGGGAACAGUUUUACUCACGAAUUCCUUUUGCACCAUCAGAACAGAUUUCAACACAGUUGUUUCAGAAGAAGCCAAACGAUUUAAAAGAAGACAUUCAACUCUUUGACUAUUUCAGCACCAUUUGUAUUUGUUGCUAAGCAUUCACAGAAAAGAUCUUUGCUCACUGGUUUGUGCCGUUACUUGACUGCUGAUACUGGAAUAUAAGCAAAAUGGCAAGCCCAGCCAUAUCUGUAGGUAUUUCCAUUUUUAAGGAAAAAGUACAAUUCUACAGAGAAGAUACUGACUUGAUCUUCAUGCUUGCAGCUAAAUUUUUCAUUUGGUGAAUUACUCUAGCAUUGGAAGGUGGCAGUGCCAUGAUUUCUUUUACCGAUUUUUUCAUCCGACAGGCAUUUGGCAAUGUUAACUGUACAGGGCACACAAUGUGUGCUUCUCCAGACAAUGCAAUGUGACAACUUACCCUGCAAGAGGAUUCUGUAAUAACUUUUUAGUUUCUAGUUUGAAAAACUGUAACAAACAAAUUUAAUCUUUUA